rnacentral:rRNA from 1 species
CAAAAACAUGUCCUUUUGNGNNNAACUUAAGGUCUGACCUGCCCAGUGAUAAGUUUUAACGGCCGCGGUAUCUUGACCGUGCAAAGGUAGCAUAAUCAUUAGUCUUUUAAUAGAGGGCUGGAAUGAAAGGUUUGACGAAGAAUAAGCUGUCUCAUUUUAUUUGUUUUAAAAUUUAAUUUUUUAGUCAAAAAGCUGAAAUGAUGUUGGAAGACGAGAAGACCCUAUAGAUCUUUAUAAUAUUUUAUUUAAUUAUUUUAUAUUAAUGCUAUUAUUUAAAAUUUUAUUUUGUUGGGGUGACAAAAAUAUAUGUUUAACUUUUUUAUUUAUGAUACAUUGAUUAAUGAUUAUUUGAUCCAUUAUUAGUGAUUAUUAGACUAAGUUACCUUAGGGAUAACAGCGNAAUCCUCCUUUGAAGUUCUUAUUUACAGGAUGGGCUUGCGACCUCGAUGUUGGAUUAAGAUUAUAGUUAGGUGUAGCCGCUUAAUAUAUAGGNNNNNUCGACCUUUAAAUUCUUACAUGAUCUGAG